AACGCGAAGAACCUUACCUGGGCUCGAACGGCUUCCCAACGGUGCCGGAAACGGUACUACCCCGCAAGGGGGUGGAGUCGAGGUGCUGCAUGGCUGUCGUCAGCUCGUGUCGUGAGAUGUUGGGUUAAGUCCCGCAACGAGCGCAACCCUUGUCCUGUGUUGCCAUACCGAAAGGUGGAACUCGCAGGAGACCGCCAGGGAUAACCUGGAGGAAGGUGGGGAUGACGUCAAGUCCUCAUGGCCUUUAUGUCCAGGGCUACACACGUGCUACAAUGGACGGUACAAAGCGUCGCUAACCUGCGAAGGGGAGCCAAUCGCAAAAAACCGUUCUCAGUUCGGAUUGCAGGCUGCAACUCGCCUGCAUGAAGCUGGAAUCGCUAGUAAUGGCAGAUCAGCACGCUGCCGUGAAUACGUUCCCGGGCCUUGUA
rnacentral:rRNA from 1 species